CCUACGGGGGGCAACAGUGAGGAAUAUUGGUCAAUGGGCGCAAGCCUGAACCAGCCAAGUCGCGUGAGGGAUGACGGUCCUAUGGAUUGUAAACCUCUUUUGUCGGGGAGCAAGGCCCACCACGUGUGGCGGGAAGGAGAGUACCCGAAGAAAAAGCAUCGGCUAACUCCGUGCCAGCAGCAGCGGUAAUACGGAGGAUGCGAGCGUUAUCCGGAUUUAUUGGGUUUAAAGGGUGCGUAGGCGGAAGGUUAAGUCAGCGGUCAAAUGUCGGUGCUCAACACCGGCCUGCCGUUGAAACUGGUCGUCUUGAGUGAGCGAGAAGUAUGCGGAAUGCGUGGUGUAGCGGUGAAAUGCAUAGAUAUCACGCAGAACUCCGAUUGCGAAGGCAGCAUACCGGCGCUCAACUGACGCUGAGGCACGAAAGCGUGGGGAUCGAACAGGAUUAGAUACCCUGGUAGUC
rnacentral:rRNA from 1 species